rnacentral:rRNA from 1 species
UACAGAGGUGGCAAGCGUUGUUCGGAAUUACUGGGCGUAAAGGGCGCGUAGGCGGCCUUCUAAGUCAGACGUGAAAUCCCCCGGCUUAACCUGGGAACUGCGUCUGAUACUGGGAGGCUUGAGUAUGGGAGAGGGAUGUAGAAUUCCAGGUGUAGCGGUGAAAUGCGUAGAUAUCUGGAGGAACACCGGUGGCGAAGGCGGCCUGCUGGGACAAUGCUGACGCUGAGGCGCGACAGCGUGGGGAGCAAACAGG